UGAGAAUCUAUUCUAGAUAGAACGCGAAGGGAAAAAACGCGGGAGAUCUACUUUCUCCACCCUUUUCUUCUCCCCUCCCCCGCCUCUCCUCCGAAAGCUCCGCCCCGCCUGCGUCCUUUGCGUACUCUCCUCAACCGAGCCCCUUCCUUCCGGCUGCUCCUCUUCCGCAGCGCGUAGCGCUUUCGUCACGUCCGGUGCGUUUCGAGCAACGCACCUGCAGUCGGCGCUGUUCUCUCCGAGUCCGCGGCAAUCUCUCUCUCUCUCUCUCUCUCUCUCUCUCCCCCCCCCGCCGACUUUGCGCAGAUCUUCCCAGCCUAAGCGCGGUUUUGGUCGGCGGCGGCUGCGGGUUCAAGGGCGGAGGCGAGUUUUUCCCUCACUCCCCCUCCUCAAAGGGUGAGCGGGCCGAGAGGCAGCCACCGGCGCAGUCAUGCUGGCUUUCCAGAGGGGGCUGCGGUUGCUGAAUGGGACCGUGAGGAGCCAGAUCCUCCCAAGGGCAAAGAUGUCCACCAAGUCAGGAAAGAACAGUUUCUUGGAAAAUGCCAUUGGAUUCACAGUGAUUUUUACUGGUGGUCUUUUCCCAAUUUGUUGGGUUACGGGCCAUCUGGACAGUUACAGUAAAUGAGAAGAAAAAGAUUUGGGAACAUGGUCACGAAGAAUAAAAUGUCAAUGUUUGUUAUUCCCAGAGGCUUUCAUUAUUAAAACUAAAAUUUGAAAAUUCAGAA